AACCGUUGGGUUAUUUAUCCUUUUUAAUGACUUGUUUCAAUACUUUUUUACAUAUGUACUUUUCUAAUUUCCAAACUCAACAAUCCAUGAAUGUUGAAAUCCUUGCACUAUACAAAAUGCUUGAACUAGCUUAUACAAAGAUUUUGAUUCCUCUUAAUAUUCUAAACAGAUUCUCAAAUUCACAUACACAAACUGCAUCAUAUAUACUCAUAAUUGUUGAAUGGUUGCAGGAAUUUCUUGCUCAGCUUUGGAAAUCAAAAGCACCACUUGGAACGGAAAUGGAGAUUAUUUUUAGGAAUGCUACUCCUUUAUCUGUUUUAUCUCAUUACUAGAAAGACCUCUAUGGAAUUACAUCUUUUUAAUUACUAUUUGUACUGAACUGCUUUACUUCCUUUACUGCUUUCAAUAAUAUGCACUUCUUU
rnacentral:lncRNA from 1 species